CACGGAGUUAGCCGAUCCUUAUUCCUCCGGUACAUUCAACCCUUUACUCGUAAAGGGGUUUAUUCCCGGGUAAAAGCAGUUUACAACCCGUAGGGCCGUCCUCCUGCACGCGGCAUGGCUGGUUCAGAGUUGCCUCCAUUGACCAAUAUUCCUUACUGCUGCCUCCCGUAGGAGUCUGGUCCGUGUCUCAGUACCAGUGUGGGGGAUUCUCCUCUCAGAGCCCCUAGACAUCGUCGCCUUGGUAAGCCGUUACCUUACCAACUAGCUAAUGUCACGCGAGCCCAUCCAUAUCCUAUAAAUAUUUAACAGUAUGACCAUGUGACCAAACUGUGUUAUGCGGUGUUAAUCCGGAUUUCUCCGGGCUAUCCCCCUGAUAUGGGUAGGUUGCUCACGCGUUACGCACCCGUGCGCCACUCUCAUGGGAAGCAAGCUCCCCAAUCCCGUUCGACUUGCAUGUAUUAGGCCUGCCGCUAGCGUUCAUCCUGAGCCAGGAUCAAACUC
rnacentral:rRNA from 1 species